GACCCCAGGUCAGGCGGGACUACCCGCUGAGUUUAAGCAUAUAAAUAA
rnacentral:rRNA from 1 species